rnacentral:misc_RNA from 1 species
CCGCACCACCCAGUCGGGCUCCAUCGGCAGGUUGGUGACGAUGAAGCCGACACGCGGGAACAGUUCGCCCGGAUGCCAUUCGAUCUUGGCGAUCACCCGGCGUUCCUUGUCCCAGGAUGCCGCCUGAUACUCGAAGUCUUCGUAGAAGCGCUUGACCUUGGUCAGCGAAGGUCGCCCGACAGGGCGCGUCAGCCGAUGCGCGAUCUUCUCGCGCAGGACGUUGUUCGCAGGCAGCCGGAUGGCGUAGAAGAAUCGGGCUUCUUCCAGCCGCUCAUAGAUCGCGGGGAUCGCGUAGGCGGCGUCAGCCCGGAAGAACCGGCCGCAAAGGUCGCGCUCCGCGUAGCGGGCGAUGACGGGGUCGAGAACGUCCCGCCAGCCAUCGGCGCUGUGGACGUUGCCAUGGCGCAAGGCGCAGCGCUCCAGCAUGCCGAACUGGUUGAACAAAAAGUUCGGGUGAUAGCAGGUGCAGUCGAAAUGCCCGUUCCAGGCCGCGCCCUCCUGAUCGCCAUGGGUGGGGCUGACCGAACUGUCCAUGUCCAGAACGAUGUACUUCAGCCCGUUACGGUCAUGGAACCGGUCGAUCCAUUGGCCAUUCAGGUCGGCCAGCGCGGCACGGUUCUCGGGCUGUGCCAGUGUCUCGGUCUCGAACCGUCCCAUCUGCGAGGCCGAGGCCGCUUGCGCAUCGACAGCCCUUCCACCCACGACCUGGCGCAUCACCGGAUCGAGGGCCAGGCGGUCGGCGUCGUUCACAUCCUCGUAUCCGGCCAGUCGCCCGAACACCGAUUGCCGGAACAACCCGUCAAGCCGGUGGACCGUGUUCUUGCCGCGCCGGGUGUCGCGCAAUGCUUUUGCCGCCAGAUCGGACAGCCCGAGCGCGUCAUCCAGCUCGCGCAUCACCAGCAGGCCGCCGUCGGAACUGAGCUGCGCACCUCGGAACUCCACAUGCACCCGGCGGUCGAACUCGACCCGAUCUGCCCGCUUCGAACCCGCACCCUCUGGGUGAUCCAUCAAACGCGCCCCUCACGGCCAUCAACACCAUGAUUUAUAUCGGAAAUAUUGAGAUCCUGACAGCAAAAUCAGCGAUUUACUUGGGGAAUGUGGGUU